rnacentral:rRNA from 1 species
UGCAGUCGAGCGGACAGAUGGGAGCUUGCUCCCUGAUGUUAGCGGCGGACGGGUGAGUAACACGUGGGUAACCUGCCUGUAAGACUGGGAUAACUCCGGGAAACCGGGGCUAAUACCGGAUGGUUGUUUGAACCGCAUGGUUCAGACAUAAAAGGUGGCUUCGGCUACCACUUACAGAUGGACCCGCGGCGCAUUAGCUAGUUGGUGAGGUAACGGCUCACCAAGGCGACGAUGCGUAGCCGACCUGAGAGGGUGAUCGGCCACACUGGGACUGAGACACGGCCCAGACUCCUACGGGAGGCAGCAGUAGGGAAUCUUCCGCAAUGGACGAAAGUCUGACGGAGCAACGCCGCGUGAGUGAUGAAGGUUUUCGGAUCGUAAAGCUCUGUUGUUAGGGAAGAACAAGUGCCGUUCAAAUAGGGCGGCACCUUGACGGUACCUAACCAGAAAGCCACGGCUAACUACGUGCCAGCAGCCGCGGUAAUACGUAGGUGGCAAGCGUUGUCCGGAAUUAUUGGGCGUAAAGGGCUCGCAGGCGGUUUCUUAAGUCUGAUGUGAAAGCCCCCGGCUCAACCGGGGAGGGUCAUUGGAAACUGGGGAACUUGAGUGCAGAAGAGGAGAGUGGAAUUCCACGUGUAGCGGUGAAAUGCGUAGAGAUGUGGAGGAACACCAGUGGCGAAGGCGACUCUCUGGUCUGUAACUGACGCUGAGGAGCGAAAGCGUGGGGAGCGAACAGGAUUAGAUACCCUGGUAGUCCACGCCGUAAACGAUGAGUGCUAAGUGUUAGGGGGUUUCCGCCCCUUAGUGCUGCAGCUAACGCAUUAAGCACUCCGCCUGGGGAGUACGGUCGCAAGACUGAAACUC